CAGGAGAUGCUGAAUUCACAGAGGUGUUGGCUGGCUUUGGUUUUCUGUGAAAAAUUAACCAAGAACAAGUUCUCUAACUCAAAACUAGAGCUCUGUGUGUGUCCCUAAGUCAUAUCUGUCUCAGUCACAUGUCAAGCCCAGCCUCACUGCUGGGAUUGAAUUCCUCUGGAUCUAAGCUGAUCUGCUCUCCUAGGUAAAGCUGCAUUUGGUAUGUCAGCCUGCAUACGCAGCCACUCUAAGAUCUCAUCCUUGCUUCAGCCACACCAAAUGCAAUCAAUGGCCUGGCUUAACCCAACUGUGGCUGCUGCUGGCUCAGAGCAGCAUGAGAAAGCAAAGCUGCUUCCACAGAGGACACUGCUGGUUGCUAUUUUGUGAAGAGUUGGGCCUCUAAGUUACAGGUAUUCAGAUUGGUUUGAUGGCAGCUGGAAGCUAAGCAGAAAUGAAGACAUUCUUACUACACCCAAACCUGGUCUUUCAUAAUGUGAUCAUUUGAGGACAUCCCACUGUGAUGUCAGAGCAGCAUUCUGAGAAAAAAAAUUACCUCACAAUUUGAUCAGGUAAGUGAUUUAGAGAUAUCAUCAAGUGAUCAGAAUCAUGGUCAACCCUACAUUGACACCUAAUGAGAUUAAUGUGGAAAAAAAAAAGCCUGUGACAUUUGGACAAGCCUGAGCUAGAAUGGAAAACUUCACAAUUCAUCCCAAACUGAUUAGCAGUAUAUCCCAAGUCUGAGACUUUCUUGACCUUAAGUUUUAUAAAGCCCCUAACAUUUAUCAAAGUCCAUAAACCAAUUCCAUCUGGAGUACUUUAUAACCUUGAAGUUUAAAUUGCAUACAACAGGAUUUGCUGUCAGCCUGAGGUCUUCAGUCAAAUGCACUGCAAAUGUCUUCUCUUUGCAUUUUAAAAAAAUGGCAUUUGUAAUGAGUGUAAUUCUCCUUAGUGAUGGAAAAAACCAACAGGGUGCAUAAAUCUAUCUGAUUAGGGCCUCUUUUAUCAAGCAUUGCUUGCUUUUGAUGUUGAAUCUGUGCAUACAAAGGAGUUAAAAAUAAAAGACUGAUUAUUUUAGUUUUCAACCAGUCUGACUCCCUUUCUAGUUAAUAGAAGGAUUUUGAUUCUGAAAGAUUUUUAACAGCAUUGGAUCAGGUUCUAAAUCAUCAGGAGAUGGAUUUCAUUUAGGAAAAAUAAACAUUUCCCAGAUUUUAGAUUACAUCUGGCAUAUUUUCUCUUUAAGUAAUAUUUUAUACUAUCACUUUAGUUCACUCUAGUGCAUGUCUAAUAAUUUCUUUACCUUAAAUCUGAAUAAUUAAUCUCUACCUAUAUUCUGCCAAAAACCUUGUGUGUUUUCAUGUGAGAAACUGUACUGCAUUCUUUGUCAAGUCAGACACUUAAAUCAGCAUUUAAGCUGAUCUAGUCAAAUGGCUUUUGUUUUAGUAAAUUAAUUUUAGAAUUUUUUCAAUCUUUAUGGUAACAUAUUUCCUUUUAUAUUAAUAUUUAAUAAUAAAAUUUCGAUUCUUAAUCCAAAGUUGAGGACACAAAAGCAAACAAAUGUUUGUUCCAUACUAUUUGUAAAGCAAACAAGCACACAAACAAAAUACAACCCACCAAUCCAAACUAAACUUAAACAGAAUGAUGUCUCGAAAGCUGCAAACUAAAAUGUCUGCACUUGUGAGUUUUUUAACUAUAAGAAAUAUGGAAAGUGUAAUUGAUUUUAAACUUACUGAUCCAUUUCGUCUUUGAUAAUUUCACCUUCAGAGUCAGAAGAAGAGAUGCC